rnacentral:rRNA from 1 species
CCUGGUAAUUUUUGCGAAGGUGUUACACCCGAUACCAUUUCGAACUCGGAAGUUAAGCCCUUCAGCGCCGAUGGUACUUUGUCUUAAGGCAUGGAAGAGUAGGACGUUGCCAGGC